GACGAACGCUGGCGGCGUGCUUAACACAUGCAAGUCGAACGGAAAGGCCCUGCUUUUGUGGGGUGCUCGAGUGGCGAACGGGUGAGUAACACGUGAGUAACCUGCCCUUGACUUUGGGAUAACUUCAGGAAACUGGGGCUAAUACCGGAUAGGAGCUCCUGCUGCAUGGUGGGGGUUGGAAAGUUUCGGCGGUUGGGGAUGGACUCGCGGCUUAUCAGCUUGUUGGUGGGGUAGUGGCUUACCAAGGCUUUGACGGGUAGCCGGCCUGAGAGGGUGACCGGCAACAUUGGGCCUGAGAUACGGCCCAGACUCCUACGGGAGGCAGCAGUGGGGAAUAUUGCACAAUGGGCGGAAGCCUGAUGCAGCAACGCCGCGUGCGGGAUGACGGCCUUCGGGUUGUAAACCGCUUUCGCCUGUGACGAAGCGUGAGUGACGGUAAUGGGUAAAGAAGCACCGGCUAACUACGUG
rnacentral:rRNA from 1 species